rnacentral:rRNA from 1 species
GACGAACGCUGGCGGCGUGCCUAAUACAUGCAAGUCGAGCGCAGGAAAUCGACGGAACCCUUCGGGGGGAAGUCGAUGGAAUGAGCGGCGGACGGGUGAGUAACACGUAAAGAACCUGCCCUCAGGUCUGGGAUAACCACGAGAAAUCGGGGCUAAUACCGGAUGGGUCAUCGGACCGCAAGGUCCGAGGAUGAAAGGCGCUUCGGCGUCGCCUGGGGAUGGCUUUGCGGUGCAUUAGCCAGUUGGUGGGGUAAUGGCCCACCAAGGCGACGAUGCAUAGCCGACCUGAGAGGGUGAUCGGCCACACUGGGACUGAGACACGGCCCAGACUCCUACGGGAGGCAGCAGUAGGGAAUCUUCCACAAUGGACGAAAGUCUGAUGGAGCAACGCCGCGUGAACGAUGAAGGCCUUCGGGUCGUAAAGUUCUGUUGUAAGGGAAGAACAAGUGCCGCAGGCAAUGGCGGCACCUUGACGGUACCUUGCGAGAAAGCCACGGCUAACUACGUGCCAGCCGCCGCAGUAAGAC